AUUGAACGCUGGCGGCAGGCCUAACACCUGCACGUCGAGCGAGCGGCGGACGGGUGAGUAAUGUCUGGGAAACUGCCUGAUGGAGGGGGAUAACUACUGGAAACGGUAGAUAAUACCGCAUACCAUCAGAUGUGCCCAGAUGUGAUUGGCUAGUAGGUGGGGUAACGGCUCACCUAGGCGACGAUCACUAGCUGGUCUGAGAGGAUGACCCGCCAAACUGGAACUGAGACACGGUCCAGACUCCUACGGGAGGCAGACGUGGGGAAUAUUGCACAAUGGGCGCAAGCCUGAUGCAGCCAUGCCGCUGGUUUGAAGAAGGCCUUCGGGUUGUAAAGCACUGUCAGCGGGGAGGCGUUACCCGCAGAAGAAGCACCGGCUAACUCCGUGCCAGCAGCCGCGGUAAUAC
rnacentral:rRNA from 1 species